rnacentral:misc_RNA from 1 species
UUUCCGUAGGUGAACCUGCGGAAGGAUCAUUACCGAGUUAGGGUACUCUUCGUGCCCGACCUCCAACCCUUUGUCUACCUGACCAGAUGUUGCUUCGGCAGGCCCGCCGCCCCGCGAGGGGCAGCCGCCGGGGGUCCUUACCGGCCCCGGGUCCGUGCCUGUCGAUGGCCCUUCUAAAACUCUUGCUUAAACGUGUCGUCUGAGUAAAACAAACAAAAUAAAAACAAAACUUUCAACAACGGAUCUCUUGGUUCUG